UACGAAGGGGGCUAGCGUUGUUCGGAAUCACUGGGCUUAAAGCGCGUGUAGGCGGGCCGGCACGUCGGACGUUGAAAUCCCCCGGCUCAACCGGGGAAGGGGCGCCGAUACGACCGGCCUGGAGGAACGUAGGGGGAGCUGGAACUUCCGGUGGAGCGGUGAAAUGCGUUGAGAUCGGAAGGAACGCCCGUGGCGAAAGCGAGCUCCUGGACGUUUUCUGACGCUGAGACGCGAAAGCCAGGGGAGCGAACGGG
rnacentral:rRNA from 1 species